rnacentral:rRNA from 1 species
UACGUAGGGGGCGAGCGUUACCCGGAUUCACUGGGCGUAAAGGGGGCGUAGGUGGCCGUGUAAGUCCGGUGUGAAAACUCACGGCUCAACCGUGGGACUGCGCUGGAAACUACACGGCUUGAGGACGGUAGAGGGAGACGGAACUGCUGGUGUAGGGGUGAAAUCCGUAGAUAUCAGCAGGAACGCCGGUGGAGAAGUCGGUCUCCUGGGCCGUUCCUGACGCUGAGGCCCGAAAGCUAGGGGAGCAAACCGG